UACGGAGGGUGCAAGCGUUAUCCGGAUUCACUGGGUUUAAAGGGUGCGUAGGUGGGUUGGUAAGUCAGCGGUGAAAUCUCCGGGCUUAACUCGGAAACUGCCAUUGAUACUAUAGAUCUUGAAUUUUCUGGAGGUAAGCGGAAUAUGUCAUGUAGCGGUGAAAUGCUUAGAUAUGACAUAGAACACCAAUUGCGAAGGCAGCUUGCUACAGGAAUAUUGACACUGAGGCAACGAAAGCGUGGGGAUCAAACAGG
rnacentral:rRNA from 1 species